rnacentral:rRNA from 1 species
AGAUUGAACGCUGGCGGCAGGCCUAACACAUGCAAGUCGAGCGGUAGAGAGGUGCUUGCAUCUCUUGAGAGCGGCGGACGGGUGAGUAAUGCCUAGGAAUCUGCCUAGUGGUGGGGGAUAACGUUCGGAAACGGACGCUAAUACCGCAUACGUCCUACGGGAGAAAGCAGGGGACCUUCGGGCCUUGCGUUAUCAGAUGAGCCUAGGUCGAUUAGCUAGUGGUGAGGUAAUGGCUCACCAAGGCGACGAUCCGUAACUGGUCUGAGAGGAUGAUCAGUCACACUGGAACUGAGACACGGUCCAGACUCCGUACGGGAGCAGCAGGUGGGAAUAGUUGGACAAGUGGGACGAAAGCCUGAUCCAGCCAUGCCGCGCGUGUAGAAGUAAGGUCUUCGGAUUAGUAAAGACUACGUUUAAGGUUGGGAAGAAGGUACAAGUUUACCUAA